rnacentral:tRNA from 1 species
GGGGCCGUAGCUUAGCCAGGUUAGAGCGCCCGGCUCAUAACCGGGCGGUCGCAGGUUCGAAUCCUGCCGGCCCCACUA